rnacentral:rRNA from 1 species
GAUGAACGCUGGCGGCGUGCUUAACACAUGCAAGUCGAACGGAAAGGCCCAAGCUUGCUUGGGUACUCGAGUGGCGAACGGGUGAGUAACACGUGGGUGAUCUGCCCUGCACUUCGGGAUAAGCCUGGGAAACUGGGUCUAAUACCGGAUAGGACCACUUCUUGGAUGUUGUGGUGGAAAGUUUUUUCGGUGUGGGAUGAGCUCGCGGCCUAUCAGCUUGUUGGUGGGGUAAUGGCCUACCAAGGCGUCGACGGGUAGCCGGCCUGAGAGGGUGUACGGCCACAUUGGGACUGAGCUACGGCCCAAACUCCUACGGGAGGCAGCAGUGGGGAAUAUUGCACAAUGGGCGCAAGCCUGAUGCAGCGACGCCGCGUGGGGGAUGACGGCCUUCGGGUUGUAAACUCCUUUCGCUAGGGACGAAGCGUUUUGUGACGGUACCUGGAGAAGAAGCACCGGCUAACUACGUG